GAUGAACGCUGGCGGCGUGCUUAACACAUGCAAGUCGAACGGAUUUAACAGAAAGCUUGCGUUCGGUUAAAUUAGUGGCGGACGGUUGAGUAACGCGUGGAUAACCUGCCGUAUACAGGGGGAUAACACUUAGAAAUAGGUGCUAAUACCGCAUAAGCGCACAGUUUCGCAUGAGACAGUGUGAAAAACUCCGGUGGUAUACGAUGGAUCCGCGUCUGAUUAGGUAGUUGGUGGGGUAACGGCCCACCAAGCCGACGAUCAGUAGCCGGCCUGAGAGGGUGAACGGCCACAUUGGGACUGAGACACGGCCCAAACUCCUACGGGAGGCAGCAGUGGGGAAUAUUGCACAAUGGGGGAAACCCUGAUGCAGCGACGCCGCGUGAGUGAAGAAGUAUUUCGGUACGUAAAGCUCUAUCAGCAAGGAAGAAAAAAGGACGGUACUUGACUAAGAAGCCCCGGCUAACCUAACGUG
rnacentral:rRNA from 1 species